rnacentral:rRNA from 1 species
UACGAAGGGGGCUAGCGUUGCUCGGAAUCACUGGGCGUAAAGGGCGCGUAGGCGGCCAUUCAAGUCAGGGGUGAAAGCCUGAAGCUUAACUUCAGAACUGCCUUUGAUACUGUAGAGCUUGAGACCGGAAGAGGUAAGUGGAACUGCGAGUGUAGAGGUGAAAUUCGUAGAUAUUCGCAAGAACACCAGUGGCGAAGGCGACUCACUGGACAUGUAUUGACGCUGAGGUGCGAAAGCGUGGGGAGCAAACAGGG